rnacentral:rRNA from 1 species
UACGUAUGGUGCAAGCGUUAUCCGGAUUUACUGGGUGUAAAGGGAGCGCAGGCGGCACGGCAAGCCUGAUGUGAAAGCCCGCGGCCCAACCGCGGGACUGCAUUGGGAACUACCGGGCUGGAGUGCCGGAGGGGUAGGCGGAAUUCCUAGUGUAGCGGUGAAAUGCGUAGAUAUUAGGAGGAACACCAGUGGCGAAGGCGGCCUACUGGACGGUGACUGACGCUGAGGCU